GACGAACGCUGGCGGCGUGCUUAACACAUGCAAGUCGAACGGAAAGGCCCUGCUUUUGUGGGGUGCUCGAGUGGCGAACGGGUGAGUAACACGUGAGUAACCUGCCCUUGACUUUGGGAUAACUUCAGGAAACUGGGGCUAAUACCGGAUAGGAGCUCCUGCUUCAUGUUGUGGGUUGGAAAGUUUCGGCGGUUGGGGCUGGACUCGCGGCUUAUCAGCUUGUUGGUGGGGUAGUGGCUUACCAAGCUUUGACGGGUAGCCGGCCUGAGAGGGUGACCGGCCACAUUGGGACUGAGAUACGGCCCAGACUCCUACGGGAGGCAGCAGUGGGGAAUAUUGCACAAUGGGCGGAAGCCUGAUGCAGCAACGCCGCGUGCGGGAUGACGGCCUUCGGGUUGUAAACCGCUUUCGCCUGUGACGAAGCGUGAGUGACGGUAAUGGGUAAAGAAGCACCGGCUAACUACGUG
rnacentral:rRNA from 1 species